rnacentral:rRNA from 1 species
GCAUAUCAAAAAGCGGAGGAAAAGAAACCAACCGGGAUUGCCUUAGUAACGGCGAGUGAAGCGGCAAAAGCUCAAAUUUGAAAUCUGGUACCUUCGGUGCCCGAGUUGUAAUUUGGAGAGGGCAACUUUGGGGCCGUUCCUUGUCUAUGUUCCUUGGAACAGGACGUCAUAGAGGGUGAGAAUCCCGUGUGGCGAGGAGUGCGGUUCUUUGUAAAGUGCCUUCGAAGAGUCGAGUUGUUUGGGAAUGCAGCUCUAAGUGGGUGGUAAAUUCCAUCUAAAGCUAAAUAUUGGCGAGAGACCGAUAGCGAACAAGUACAGUGAUGGAAAGAUGAAAAGAACUUUGAAAAGAGAGUGAAAAAGUACGUGAAAUUGUUGAAAGGGAAGGGCAUUUGAUCAGACAUGGUGUUUUGUGCCCUCUGCUCCUUGUGGGUAGGGGAAUCUCGCAUUUCACUGGGCCAGCAUCAGUUUUGGUGGCAGGAUAAAUCCAUAGGAAUGUAGCUUGCCUCGGUAAGUAUUAUAGCCUGUGGGAAUACUGCCAGCUGGGACUGAGGACUGCGACGUAAGUCAAGGAUGCUGGCAUAAUGGUUAUAUGCCGCCCGUCUUGAAACACGGACC